CGGUCGGUACGCGACUGGCGAUAGGCACCCUGCCCUGCAAGGCCAGGCUGCUGAAGUGGGAACACCACGGGGGAGCGUACCGCAAAGCCUGUAACGGUUUUGUGAUCAGCCGUUCGCCUGGGCACCUUAA
rnacentral:ncRNA from 2 species